AGGCUUCUCGCUAUCACUUCUGGAUGGACCUGCGGUGCAUUAGCUUGUUGGUGGGGUAACGGCCUACCAAGGCGAUGAUGCAUAGCCGAGUUGAGAGACUGAUCGGCCACAAUGGGACUGAGACACGGCCCAUACUCCUACGGGAGGCAGCAGUAGGGAAUCUUCCACAAUGGGCGCAAGCCUGAUGGAGCAACACCGCGUGAGUGAAGAAGGGUUUCGGCUCGU
rnacentral:rRNA from 1 species